rnacentral:lncRNA from 1 species
AUGGGGUCCAGCAACCUGCAUUUUAUACACACGGACCCACAGCCUCCAUCUGGGGUCAACCUGUGUCUGCACCAUGCUAGUCAACGGCCCCAUCCUGGCCCAUCAAAACUGGCAGGACAGACAAAGAGAUGGGCUCUUUGUCUAAACAAUGGGACAAGGCCUGAAAUUCAGCAUUUCAGGGCUCUGCAGAGCUUGAGUUGGUGUCUGGUGCUCUGUGCCCCAAUCGCCUCUCGUACACCAGGAAGCACAUCAUCUCCUGAGCAGACUCGGCUGCAAGAUGACCACUUAGAAGAGCGGCUGCGCCUUCCUCAAGCACAACUGCAAGCCUGGGACUCAGCUGCUCCCUCUGCAACCUGGAGCGACGGCCACUGCACCCCGUCUCUCCAGGUCUCGGUAUCCCCCCUGGACACACCACCGAGGUGGCGACAACUGGACGUUCCUCAUGCGUGUACAAAACACAACUCUACCUAUCCAACUGGUCCCUUGUCGUUGUGUCUGCAGUGGGUCAAGCUGUUGGCGGAAAGAAGAGCUGACAGGAGCCACUCUGGAGCAGGACUGGAGACAAAGCCCAAGGGCAGGCACCGCUCACUGAUCAACUAUAGAAAGACACUUUUGAGAGAGCUAGGGAAAUCUGACUACAGACUGGGUCCGAGGUGAAUGACUGUUUAUUUUGGUAGGGGUGACAAGGCACUGCGGUUCUGCAGGAAAACGCAUACUCAAGUAUGCAGGGCGGUAACGACAUGUCUUGGAUGCGUCAUUAAAGAAGGGAGGACAGACAGAUACAGAAAAUGUAUCAAAAUUUUGCUAACUGUUGUAGGUGGCUGAUGAGUUUAGGGCGUUGGUUAUACUUUUCUUUACAUUUUUUGUAUGCUUGAGAAGUUUCAUAAUUGAUAACAAAAACUCAAUUCAGAAACCUGGAUGUCAUACCAGACUUCUCAGGUCCACUCACCCACCCUCACUUUCCCAUUAGCCCGAGUCCUGGAGACCCCGCCCCUUUAGCCUGCUGGAGCCCAUUUAAUACUCAAAAUGCAGCCGGCCCCUCACACCCCUGCUGCCAGACUGGGUUUUCUACAAGGGAGAGGCAACAGGACAGGGACUGAGGGGCCUGCGUCCAAACCGCAGCUCUGCAUUUGCAGACACCUGCCCUGGGGCUGGCUGACCCCUCCCCACUCCUUUCUUCAGCUGUAAAAUGAACACAGUAGUUCUCGCCCCACAGAUCACUUGAACGGGAUAACCCGGCAAACUCCUGAACACAGGGUCUGGCUUUUGCUAAGGUCCCAAGUGUUAACUGGUAUUGUAAAAAUCUCAACCUGACCAUGUCACUUCCCUGCUUAAAACCAUCAAUGGUUCCUCACAAAGUUCUUGAAUAAGGUCAAAUUCUUGACUUACUGCAAAAGGACCGCACAUCUGGCCCUACCUCUUCCAGCCUCAACUCCCACCUCUCACCUCCACUGCUUCCCUCUGUGGUUUUCCAGUUACCCCGCAGUCGGAUGCCUCCGUCCCCUUGCAUCUGCUAUGCCUUGGAAAGUGUACCCCUCCCCCCUCCUCCUUUGGCUCCCAGGUCAGCCUCUCCAAAGGGCUGCUCCAGCCUCCACACCCCUGCACUUGUCACCACGGCUGUGUCCACACCAGACUGGAAUCGAUUUGCUGCCUGUCUGCUUUACCUGUCUACAAGCUCCCUAAUCAGUCUGGGGUAAAUUCUUCCACAGAGGUAGGGGGUCUGCUUUUCAUAGUCAAUAUAGGAGGAGUUAACUCAGGUAAGAUACUCUCUUGGGCAACCUGGUUUCCAGAUUAUUUCAGAAGAGGAUACACUUUGACUUCUGCCUCAGGGCCUUUGUCUGGUGUUUCUCAAACUCCAAUGUGCUUAUGAAUCUCCAGGGAUCUUCCUAAAGCGCGGAUUCUGAUUUAGCAGGUCUGGGGCGCAGCUUGCGACUCCGCAUUUCUGACAAACGCCCAGGGAGUGCCAGAGCUGCAGGUCCUGGAACUACACUGAGAAGCCAGACUUAGUCCUAUCCUUUGCGGGUUCAAGCCAACCCAUCCUUGGGUCUCAGCUCAGAUGUCGCUUCAGAAAGAGGGGCUUUCCAGGUCAUCUCAGUUCAAAGAAAGCCAUGCUGUUACUCUCUCCUGGUGCCCAGGUCUCUUCCUCCUGGGGGGUGGGUUUGUGUGUGUACGUGUGUGUGUGUGAUGUCUCCCUGACUAGACUGGAGGCCCCAGGGGAGGAACCACUUUGUUCUCCAGGUGGUGCUGGAGGAGCAUGCCUCUCGGUUGUAGAAAACGCCUUCAAGCCCCACACCCACUUACUCCUGUGAGCUUUCUGAGAUCAAGUCCCUGAGGGGGAGGCCCACGUGUCCUCCUGAUGGAAGAGGACACUGAGGGUGUAGGAGACUUUGUCACACUGGAGAUUCUGAGAACUUACCAGACACCAUCGCCCACCCAUAAUUCCCAGUCCACCUUGGCCAGACUCAACUUUAAAGCAGAUCAUUUGGAAAGACCCACCUACGCUGCCCCUUCCCGUGACACCUGCUUCCUGCCCCCCACCCAACCCCUGCCACACCCACACCAGUCACUGCUGAAAGAACUGCCACCAGCUCAAGAAACUUCAACCUCAGCACUUUUCUUUCAAUCAAAACUAGGAGUGAGUGGCGGGGGAGGGGAGGGGGAGGCGGCACAUCUCGGUGAAGCAACUCUUGGAAUGCAACGGACAUCACACAAAUCCCCCAGAACCUGAGUGAGGGCUGGGCCAGCUUCUCGCCCUGUCCUAUCCCCUCCUCCAGCCCCCAGAAGUGCUCAGGGCAGGCUCCUUGUCCUCUAUCCCUACCCUAUCCCAACAGAAUGUGCCACUGCCCACCUCCACACAACCAAGAGCUGAGACACGGAUGCCCCCCAGCUAGGUCAGGAUGACACCCCACUGCGCGGACGUUCAGGGGUUGGGUGAGGUGACUUGCAUUCUGCAGGACAGAGCGUCCUCCUCACCCGGCCCAGCUCAGCCUCUCCAUCUUCAACUCAACCAAGGCUCUGGGGCGGAGCGGAUGUUCUCUGACACAGCUGGGCAGGUUAAUUUUCAAUAAUUUCUUUAUUCCAUCAUGACAGCCUUCCCUAUCUUUUCCAUGACCCUCAAGUAUCCACCUGUGCCUAGGUCAUCUCUCCUCCGGCAAUGUUGACUCUGAAGAAGCGAGGCUGCCUGCCACAGGUGGGUGGCUCUCUCCAUGAACGAGCCUUGGAACCUGACUCGAAGGGUCUAGGAGACCUGAGAAACGCUCCUCACCCUGCAGUCCUUGGUUUGAAAAGAGAAGGCACGGCGAUGCCCAGUCCUGCACAGAGAUGGUGCUUCUCUCUGGACCAGGUGUGACUCAGAGAUCGGGCUGAAAUGUCAUCCUUGGGUAGGGGCUUGGCGACAGUUCUCACUUGGUGCCACAACAGAAAGCAACAAAAGCUAAAGCACAUCAACAGUCAAAUCUUCUUCACCUACUAAUUCCUCAGACAAUGAUAAAAUAAAAGGCAAAAAUCAACAUGAUUUGGCA